AAAGUAGCUUGCUACUUUUGCCGGCGAGCGGCGGACGGGUGAGUAAUGCCUGGGGAUCUGCCCAGUCGAGGGGGAUAACUACUGGAAACGGUAGCUAAUACCGCAUACGCCCUACGGGGGAAAGCAGGGGACCUUCGGGCCUUGCGCGAUUGGAUGAACCCAGGUGGGAUUAGCUAGUUGGUGAGGUAAUGGCUCACCAAGGCGACGAUCCCUAGCUGGUCUGAGAGGAUGAUCAGCCACACUGGAACUGAGACACGGUCCAGACUCCUACGGGAGGCAGCAGUGGGGAAUAUUGCACAAUGGGGGAAACCCUGAUGCAGCCAUGCCGCGUGUGUGAAGAAGGCCUUCGGGUUGUAAAGCACUUUCAGCGAGGAGGAAAGGUUGGUAGCUAAUAACUGCCAGCUGUGACGUACUCGCA
rnacentral:rRNA from 1 species